AUUGAACGCUGGCGGCAGGCCUAAAACAUGCAAGUCGAACGAGUGGCGGACGGGUGAGUAAUUUCUGGGAAACUGCCCGAUGGAGGGGGAUAACUACUGGAAACGGUAGCUAAUACCGCAUACCAUCGGCAGUGCCCAGAUGGGAUUAGCUAGUAGGUGGGGUAACGGCUCACCUAGGAGACGAUCCCUAGCUGGUCUGAGAGGAUGACCAGCCACACUGGAACUGAGACACGGUCCAGACUCAUACGGGAGGCAGCAGUGGGGAAUAUUGCACAAUGGGCGCAAGCCUGAUGCAGCCAUGCCGCGUGUAUGAAGAAGGCCUUCGGGUUGUAAAGUACUUUUAGCGAGGAGGCGUUACCCGCAGAAGAAGCACCGGCUAACUCCGUGCCAGCAGCCGCGGUAAUUC
rnacentral:rRNA from 1 species